ACCUCAAAUUUCUUCUGGGAUUGCCUUCAGUUCACCCUCACCCCUUAAAUCAAAACGUCAUUCCAAGAUGGAACAGAAGCUUUGCAGGUUGGUAGGAUUUGAAGGAUCCAAAGUUGACUCUUAGGUCUCCCAUCAAAUACCAUCCCAAGAAAGAAAAAAGACUUAGAGAUGGUCUGCAGCUGGAUGGGCUUUGAGUCUCUGGAAGGUCCGCUAGGCGUCCAUGCUUCUUUCCUUUGCUUCUCUAGAAGUCAUGGCUGUGCCGUAUCUCACCGCCGUACUCCUGUUGGCCAUGCUGAGCCGGGGCCAGGACUUCCCCUUCAGGGACCCCACAUUACCCUGGGAGGAGCGGCUGGAUGAUUUGGUGAACAGGCUGACGCUGGACGAGAUGGUGUUGCAGAUGUCAAAAGGGGGAGUUAUGUGGAAUGGCCCAGCACCACCCAUAGAGCGGCUAGGCAUCAGGCCAUACAUCUGGAACACAGAAUGCCUCCGUGGGGAUGUGGAUGCUCCAGGCUGGGCUACUGCCUUCCCCCAAGCCCUGGGCUUGGCGGCCUCCUUCAGGUAUGGAUGCUGCAGCGAUGAUGUCCCUCUUCCCCAGGCAAAAGCUA
rnacentral:lncRNA from 1 species